rnacentral:misc_RNA from 1 species
AUUGAUUUUAAGAAGAAUAAUGAGAAGGGGAUUGAUGCAAAGAAAUUCGGUGAGCUCUUGAUGUCGUCAGGGAUUGUGUUGAAUGAUAGUGUGCACUGGGUGACUUUCCACAGUGGAUAUGAUUUUGGCUACUUGCUUAAGCUCUUGACAUGCCAGAAUUUGCCUGAUACACAAGUGGGGUUCUUUAACUUGAUCAACCUGUACUUCCCAACCCUUUAUGAUAUCAAGCAUUUGAUGAGGUUUAGCAAUAACCUUCAUGGAGGAUUGAACAAGCUCGCCGAGUUGUUGGAAGUAGAGAGAGUUGGGAUAUGCCAUCAAGCGGG